rnacentral:rRNA from 1 species
AGCGAACGCUGGCGGCAGGCCUAACACAUGCAAGUCGAACGAACCUUUCGGGGUUAGUGGCGGACGGGUGAGUAACACGUGGGAACGUGCCUUUAGGCUCGGAAUAACUCAGGGAAACUUGUGCUAAUACCGAAUGUGCCCUUCGGGGGCAAGAUUUAUCGCCUUUAGAGCGGCCCGCGACCGAUUAGCUAGUUGGUUGAGGUAAUGGCUCACCAAGGCGACGAUCAGUAGCUGGUCUGAGAGGAUGAGCAGCCACAUUGGGACUGAGACACGGCCCAAACUCCUACGGGAGGCAGCAGUGGGGAAUCUUGCGCAAUGGGCGAAAGCCUGACGCAGCCAUGCCGCGUGAAUGAUGAAGGUCUUAGGAUUGUAAAAUUCUUUCACCGGGGACGAUAAUGACGGUACCCGGAGAAGAAGCCCCGGCUAACUUCGUG